rnacentral:tRNA from 1 species
AUUCAAAUAGUUUAAAAAAAAAUUCUGGCUUGUGGUGCUAGAGAUAUAAUUCUUAUUUUGGAUA